AUUGAACGCUGGCGGCAUGCUUUACACAUGCAAGUCGAACGGCAGCGCGGGCUUCGGCCUGGCGGCGUGUGGCGAACGGGUGAGUAAUACAACGGAACGUGCCCAGUAUAGGGGGAUAGCUCGGCGAAAGCCGGAUUAAUACCGCAUACGACCAGAGUUUGAAAGCGGGGGAUCUUCGGAGCCCGCCCGAUUGGAUCUCCCCAUGGCAGAUUAGCUAGUUGGUGGGGUAAAGGCUUACCAAGGCGACGAUCUGUAGCUGGUCUGAGAGGACGACCAGCCACACUGGGACUGAGACACGGUCCAGACUCCUACGGGAGGCAGCAGUGGGGAAUUUUGGACAAUGGGCGAAAGCCUGAUCCAGCAAUGCCGCGUGUGUGAUGAAGGCCUUCGGGUUGUAAAGCACUUUUGGCAGGAACGAAAAGGACUGUGCCAAUACCACGGUUCGAUGACGGUACCCGCAGAAUAAGCACCGGCUAACUACGUG
rnacentral:rRNA from 1 species